CCCUGGCCUCACCUCCACAAUGGAUGGGUCUUCAGGCUCCAGAAGGCAGGAAUGAAGACUAUGACAAGCAGGAGGAGAAGCAGCAGUAGAAACAGAGUUUCACCAUGUUGCCCCGGCUGGUCUCAAACUCCUGACCUCAAGAGAUCCACCCGCCUUGGCCUCCAAAGUGCUGGGAUUACAGGCGUGAGCCACCGCACCUGGCUGGACCUUCUUAAUAAUUGAUACUUCUGGAACUCUCCAACUAUGGCCAUUCUAAGCAAUUGGGAAGCUUC